CCGGAGGGGGUGGAGGCGGAAGUGCCGGCGCCGGGCCCCGGGAGUAGGAAGGAGCCGGGGUGCAGCCGGAGUGGAGUGGCUGCCAGCCGAGGAGCAGGCGCGGCCACGGCGCCAUAUUGAGGCCCUAAGCGGCCACGACCGAGUCAUGGCCGAGACCUACGACUUCCUCUUCAAAUUCCUGGUGAUCGGCAGUGCAGGAACUGGCAAAUCAUGUCUCCUUCAUCAGUUCAUUGAGAAUAAGUUUAAACAGGACUCCAACCACACCAUUGGCGUGGAGUUUGGAUCCCGGGUAGUCAACGUGGGUGGGAAGACUGUGAAGCUACAGAUUUGGGACACGGCCGGCCAGGAACGGUUUCGGUCGGUGACACGGAGUUAUUAUCGAGGGGCAGCUGGAGCCCUGCUGGUGUACGACAUCACCAGCCGGGAGACAUACAACUCGCUGGCUGCCUGGCUGACGGACGCCCGCACACUGGCCAGCCCCAACAUCGUGGUCAUCCUCUGUGGCAACAAGAAGGACCUGGAGCCUGAGCGCGAGGUCACUUUCCUGGAGGCCUCCCGCUUUGCCCAGGAGAAUGAGCUGAUGUUCCUGGAGACCAGUGCGCUCACAGGCGAGAACGUGGAGGAGGCCUUCCUGAAGUGCGCUCGGACCAUCCUGAAUAAGAUUGACUCAGGUGAGCUAGACCCCGAGAGGAUGGGCUCGGGCAUUCAGUAUGGUGAUGCCUCCCUUCGCCAGCUGCGGCAGCCUCGGAGUGCUCAGGCCGUGACUCCUCAGCCCUGUGGCUGCUGAGACCUACGGAACCAGGCAGGAGAUGCCAACAUAGUCUCAAGUGUCCACCUGAUCCAAGAAGCUCACUUCUCACCAGCAUCCCUCCGUAACCCAGUGCCCAGUCCAAUCCCUGUCUGAAGAGUUGGCUUUGGGAAUGGUUCCUGUCCUGGGCCAACAGAAGCUCACCUGUUCUCCAGGACCAGACCUGCCCUUCUGGCUGGGGCCCAGACCCAGGCCCUGGGAGGCCGUGCCCCCCACCUGCCCUGGCCCCAAAGAAGCUGCCCUGGCACCUGUCCCCCUUCCCUGGCCUGGAUGUGGGGCGAGACUGAGCCACGGGGGAGAGGGAACCCAUACCUGCUGCUGCUUCCCAUCUUGCUAACCCUUAACCAUGUCCCAAGAGCUCCCAAAGCCUGAGACCAGGGCCAUGUGGCCCCAACUCCCCGCCUGGCCCUGCCAUUGCGAGUACGUGUUAUUUAUUACCUGGAGGCCUGUCCAGUCCCCACCCUGUGCCCAUAAAGCAUUGUUUACACCCGUG